rnacentral:rRNA from 1 species
GACGUAGGGCGCGAGCGUUGUCCGGAUUUAUUGGGCGUAAAGAGCUCGUAGGCGGCUUGUUGCGUCGACCGUGAAAACCCGGGGCUCAACUUCGGGCUUGCGGUCGAUACGGGCGGGCUAGAGUUCGGUAGGGGAGACUGGAAUUCCUGGUGUAGCGGUGAAAUGCGCAGAUAUCAGGAGGAACACCGGUGGCGAAGGCGGGUCUCUGGGCCGAUACUGACGCUGAGGAGCGAAAGCAUGGGGAGCGAACAGG